AAAAAUUUACCAUCCUCACCAUAGCACUACCCCACCAAAAAACGCAAAGGUUUCACAUGGAUUAAGGACUAUUUAGCUGUUUGCUUACUCAUUUACUCUCUCUCUCAGAAUAACAAGCUGAUUCUUCUUCAACCUUCACCACUUUCUCUUCUUCCUCUCUUCCUCCUUCUUCUCUUACAAGAAUUAUGCCUAUUGGAAAGAGAUGUGUGUCCCUCAAAUAUAAUAACACCAGAGUUUGCUCCUCCUCCUCCUCUUUAUUGUUUUUGGGCAUUUUCUGGCUUUUCCAAUAUCAAUGGGUAAUCCAAUUAGAAGUCACUUGAAUUCAGAACAAAUGGAAGUGCUGGGAUAGCGAGUACAUCUGGUUUAACAGUGAGGUGGUGGGGCUUUUAUUAAAUGUUUUCCCUUUCAUGCCAUUCAGUGCUGCUGCAAUUCCUUUGUCAAAUUGUUUAAGGUCUUAUUUUUCUAUCCUCCAUAAAAAAGUGGCCUCUUAAAUGCAUGGAUCUUCUCUCUUUUUGCUUCCCUGGAAUAUUGGAGGUUAGGUUUCAGUAUUUUUGGCUUCAAUUAUGGUCCAUUGAGUGAACCCCUUCCAUGAGUGAGUUGAAUGAAAUUGUGCUAUGCAAUACUUACAUUAGUUUUAGUUUUAGAACAACUUUUAGCUUUUAGUUGGAUGUUUAUCUAAGUGGUUAAACAUUGAUA